CUGCAAAGCUCUUCAGCAGCGUCUCAGCAGCCUCCACAGCGAGCCUGCGGGCAGGCAGAGCCGCGCCAACCGCAGUUACGGUAAAACAACAACAACAACACAGCCCCCCCUGGAGCCAGGAGUGCCCAGUGGAAGUGGUGUGCAACUUCUGGGCAAUGUCCUUAAAUAGGGAGGGAGUCCUGCUCUUUGCCUUUCCUCCUUCCAUCUGGCCAGAAGGUGGAUGCAAUGGCUCGAGCUACAGAAGUCACAUUGGACCAUGAAGUGACCUUGGGAAUGGAAACCGUGCAGGUGGAACAGCAAGACAGAAGGAGCCCGGGUUCCUGACAGUGCGGGGCAACACGCCAGCCCCAGACUGCCUGCUUCCAGGCGCUCACCCCAAAGAGAGGGAAACUAUUGGAGGUUUUCGAUGACUCACAGCUGAAACAAAUUAAACAGCAUACUAACCCAUUUUGUUACCACCGAAAGCACAGACCACUAGCAAGAAACUUAGAAAGGUCAGCAACAGAGUGUGAUGGAUGAAAGACCUCAGCACUAUUCAGUGAUCAGGCGGUGUGGGGAGGAGAUUUUACCUCGAGGCGUGGAUGACGUAAUCUGCAAUAUCGCAGACUGUGGCUGCCUGGGUGCGUGCUGCCUGUCUGCCAAGAAGGUCGAUAAAUAAGUAAACUUCUCUGCGGCUCUGGGUUGGUUAGCCUGGAGAGAGAAGUUCUCAUACUUCUAACCCUUAACAGGAUCUUUUCACAAAUGUCUAUGAUCUUAUCUGUGUAGCCACUAGACCCCCGGAAGGCACAGCCAGGUGAGAGUGUAAGUACUGGCUGAAGGACCUGGGCGAUUCGGCCUCGGGAAGAAAUUCUGGAGCUGGGCGCUGGGGAUCUGAGAGCUGCGUUCACACAUCAAAAUAAAAAAGGGUUUAGGCUUCUUCCUGGAGAACCCGAGGCCAAAACCAGGACGGUGAGUGGAGCUGCCAAUUUAACCCUGAGUUAAAGAGAACCCUCCUGUCUCUCAGGGCUGGAAGGAGGUGGCGGCGGGGGUAUUUAGCAGAGGAUGGUGCAGAAAGGAUUCAUCAAGCGAGCACCGUUCCCAAAAGCCAGUCUGCACAUUGGCACCUGUCCAUAAAGUUUGUCAGGUCUUGCUUUCCUAUUGAAAGAAAAGAAAAUGUGGCACAUUUUUAUAAAGCUAAACAUUUGCAAUUUGAAGUACGUUUCCUGUAUUCUGAGAUCAUGUUCUUUCUAUUCGGGGCAAUGUUAAAAUGUAUUUUUGUUGUUGUUAGAUAGCA
rnacentral:lncRNA from 1 species